UACGUAGGGACCGAGCGUUGUCCGGAAUCAUUGGGCGUAAAGAGCGUGUAGGCGGCCAUUCAGGUCAGCUGUGAAAACUCGAGGCUCAACCUCGAGACGUCGGUUGAAACCGUUUGGCUAGAGUCCGGAAGAGGAGAGUGGAAUUCCCGGUGUAGCGGUGAAAUGCGCAGAUAUCGGGAAGAACACCCGUGGCGAAGGCGGCUCUCUGGGACGGUACUGACGCUGAGACGCGAAAGCGUGGGGAGCGAACAGG
rnacentral:rRNA from 1 species